rfam:[Clostridium] stercorarium subsp. stercorarium DSM 8532 chromosome, complete genome.
GGGGGCGUAUUGGUUUCGACGGGAUUAUUGAAGCAAGAGUAGCGGGUAGAGGAUUCUCGUUGGCCUCUUUAAAAAACGAGAGCUAAAAAUAAACGCAAACAACGAUAACUACGCUUUAGCUGCUGCGUAAGUAACACGCAGCCCGUCGGCCCCGGGGUUCCUGCGCCUCGGGAUACCGGCGUCAUCAAGGCAGGGAACCAGCCGGAUCAGGCUUCAGGUCCGGUGGGAUUUAAUGAAGCUACCGACUUAUAAAGCCUGUCUCUGGGCGUUAUAAGAAGGGAAUGUCAAAACAGAGACUGCACCCGGAGAAGCUCUUGUGGAUAUGGUUCCGGACACGAGUUCGAUUCUCGUCGCCUCCACCA